CAACUAGGUGUACCCAUCUCCCCAAAGAAAACAGAAGGGCCAGACACUAUUAUCACUUUUCUGGGUAUCCAAUUAGACUCUGCCACAAUGCAAGCAAGCCUACCAUACGAUAAGAUAGAAAAUAUUCUCACUUACAUAAACAACUACCUACAUCUCAGCACUUGCAACCACAAAGAACUACAGUCCCUGCUGGGGUCACUAAAUUUUGCAAUGCGCAUCAUACCUCAAGGCCGCUCCUUUAUUUCACAACUAUUGCAUCUUUUCCCACUUUUUCUACAUGACACGCACAGGUUGUCCUUAGAUGCCCAAGCUACGGCAGAUCUAAACAUGUGGAAGAGGUUUUUAACCACUUUGAAUGGUAAAAGUAUGCUCCUCC